AAAUCGAUUAUAAAAAAUAGUUGGCAAUGAUUUCAUCAUCGAUUAGUUGGAUCUAUGUUAUGAUGCACAACCCACACUGUGGCAACGUCUCCUUAGGUGUGGACAUAAACCAACCAAUGCUACGCCUUGUGUAGCUCAUGUGAUAAAUUACAGGAAAUGACAUUGUCACCUUUGUCUCUGGAGUAAGCAUUUGAAAACCGCGGAGGCAUAGACUAACACUUCCUCUUAACUGGAAAAGCAAACAUCAGAUUGUAUACAUUUUUUCAAAUGAAGAUGUCCUAACCUGCUCUGUGCGUCAGCGAACAGGUAAAGGGACGUGUCGCUUGCUUGAAAAAACGCUCGCCCUGGCUUUAUUUUAGCCAAGUUUCAUGCACCUCCAACCUAUUUUCAUUCAUCAAAAUUGACGCUGACAGUAACUGACAUUAACAUCAGCAACAACAA